CCUACGGGAGGCAGCAGUGAGGAAUAUUGGUCAAUGGCCGGAAGGCUGAACCAGCCAAGCCGCGUGAAUGACGAAGGUGCCAAGCAUUGUAAACUUCUUUUGUCAAGGGACAAAAUCAGGCUCGAGAGCCUGACCGAGGGUACUUGAAGAAAAAGCAUCGGCUAACUCGGUGCCAGCAGCCGCGGUAAUACGGAGGAUGCGAGCGUUAUCCGGAUUUAGUGGGUUUAAAGGGUGCGUAGGCGGACUGUUAAGUCAGCGGUAAAAGCCCGGGGCUAAACCCCGGCGAGCCGUGGAAACUGGCUGUCUUGAGAUGUCGAGAGGUAUGCGGAAUGCGCAGUGUAGCGGUGAAAUGCUUAGAUAUUGCGCAGAACUCCGAUUGCGAAGGCAGCAUACCGGCGGCGAUCUGACGCUGAGGCACGAAAGCGUGGGUAUCGAACAGGAUUAGAUACCCCAGUAGUC
rnacentral:rRNA from 1 species